UACGUAGGGGGCAAGCGUUGUCCGGAAUCAUUGGGCGUAAAGCGCGCGUAGGCGGCCCGGUAAGUCCGUUGUAAAAGUCAAAGGCUCAACCUUUGAACGCCGAUGGAUACUGCCGGGCUAGAGUCCGGAAGAGGCGAGUGGAAUUCCUGGUGUAGCGGUGGAAUGCGCAGAUAUCAGGAAGAACACCCGUGGCGAAGGCGGCUCUCUGGGACGGUACUGACGCUGAGACGCGAAAGCGUGGGGAGCGAACAGG
rnacentral:rRNA from 1 species